rnacentral:rRNA from 1 species
GACGAACCGUGCGAACGUUGUUCGGAAUCAUUGGGCUUAAAGGGCGCGUAGGCGGGCUGGCCAGUCCGGGGUGAAAGCCCACGGCUCAACCGUGGAAGUGCCUUGGAUACUGCCAGUCUCGAGGGAGGUAGGAGCGUGCGGAAUUCCUGGUGUAGCGGUGAAAUGCGUAGAUAUCUGGAGGAACACCGGUGGCGAAGGCGGCAUCCUGGACCGGCAUUGACGCUGAGGCGCGAAAGCUAGGGGAGCAAACGGGG